rnacentral:rRNA from 1 species
GAUGAACGCUGGCGGCGUGCCUAAUACAUGCAAGUCGAGCGAACAGACGAGGAGCUUGCUCCUCUGACGUUAGCGGCGGACGGGUGAGUAACACGUGGAUAACCUACCUAUAAGACUGGGAUAACUUCGGGAAACCGGAGCUAAUACCGGAUAACAUGUUGAACCGCAUGGUUCAACAGUGAAAGACGGUUUUGCUGUCACUUAUAGAUGGAUCCGCGUCGCAUUAGCUAGUUGGUAAGGUAACGGCUUACCAAGGCAACGAUGCGUAGCCGACCUGAGAGGGUGAUAGGCCACACUGGAACUGAGACACGGUCCAGACUCCUACGGGAGGCAGCAGUAGGAAUCUUCCGCAAUGGGCGAAAGCCUGACGGAGCAACGCCGCGUGAGUGAAGAAGGUCUUCGGAUCGUAAAACUCUGUUAUUAGGGAAGAACAAAUGUGUAAGUAACUAUGCACGUCUUGACGGUACCUAAUCAGAAAGCCACGGCUAACUACGUG